rnacentral:piRNA from 1 species
UGUAAUGGAGAAACCUAAAGGAAAUUGGCAA